AAUUAGUUUUUUAAUUGGAAAAUGGAAUGAAUGGUUUCACCAAAGAUCAAAAUUUAAACAAAAUUAUAUGAAAUUUUAAGUUUGAUGAAAAUAUCAAAAAAUACUCACUAGACAAAAAGACCCUAUGAAGCUAUCAAUAAUAAACUUACCUUAAAUAAAAAUAUAUUGAUUUUUUGGGGUAAAGCAUAAAAAUUUUAUUAGAAUAAAAAUCUCCACUCUUAAAAGAUCCCUCAGGAACUAUGAAAAAGCUCCUCUAGGGAUAACAGCAUAAUAAUUAAAAAAGUUCUUAUUA
rnacentral:rRNA from 1 species